CCCCAAAUAGCUAAGUGGUAAAGAAUCUGCCUGCUAAUGCAGGAGCUGCAGGAGACCCAGGUUUGAUUCCUGGGUCGGGAA
rnacentral:tRNA from 1 species